rnacentral:rRNA from 1 species
GACGAACGCUGGCGGCGUGCUUAACACAUGCAAGUCGAACGGAAAGGCCCUGCUUUUGUGGGGUGCUCGAGUGGCGAACGGGUGAGUAACACGUGAGUAACCUGCCCUUGACUUUGGGAUAACUUCAGGAAACUGGGGCUAAUACCGGAUAGGAGCUCCUGCUGCAUGGUGGGGGUUGGAAAGUUUCGGCGGUUGGGGAUGGACUCGCGGCUUAUCAGCUUGUUGGUGGGGUAGUGGCUUACCAAGGCUUUGACGGGUAGCCGGCCUGAGAGGGUGACCGGCCACAUUGGGACUGAGAGACGGCGCAGACUCCUACGGGAGGCAGCAGUGGGGAAUAUUGCACAAUGGGCGGAAGCCUGAUGCAGCAACGCCGCGUGCGGUAUGACGGCCUUCGGGUUGUAAACCGCUUUCGCCUGUGACGAAGCGUGAGUGACGGUAAUGGGUAAAGAAGCACCGGCUAACUACGUG